rnacentral:rRNA from 1 species
GGUCAAGCUACUAAGGGUAUAUGGUGGAUGCCUAGGCGUGCAGAGGCGAUGAAGGACGUUGUAGGCUGCGAAAAGCUCCGGGGAGCCGCCAAACAGGCUUUGAUCCGGAGAUUUCCGAAUGGGGCAACCCGGCGCCACUGGGCAACCAGCUGGUGUCACCGGCGGCUGAAUGCAUAGGCCGUCUGGAGCGAACCCAGGGAACUGAAACAUCUCAGUACCUGGAGGAAAGGAAAUCAACCGAGACUCCGUGAGUAGCGGCGAGCGAAAGCGGAUUAGCCCAUGGCCGCGAGCCAUACGUCGUUGUGAGCUCAGUCGAACGCUCUGGAACGGGCGACCACAGAAGGUGACAGUCCUGUAGACGACAGGUGAGCGACGGCGGUCGAGUAGGUCGGAUGCCGUGGAACUCUGACUGAACAUGCGGGGCCCACCCUGCAAGGCUAAGUACUCCUGCACGACCGAUAGUGAACAAGUAAGGCGACUGAAUGGUGAAAAGCACCCCUUCUAGGGGAGUUAAAAGUACCUGAAACCAUGUACCUACAAGCUGUGGAAGGCCGAUGGCGGGCUUGCUCGCCCGGCUGACCGCGUACCUUUUGCAUAAUGGACCGGCGACUUAUCGUAUACGGCGAGGUUAAGUGCCUCCGGCACGCAGCCGAAGCGAAAGCGAGUCUGAAUAGGGCGUUUAGUCGUAUGCGGUAGACCCGAACCUGAGUGAUCUACCCAUGGCCAGGUUGAAGGGACGGUAAAACGUCCUGGAGGACCGAAGCCGUGAACGUUGAAAAGUUCUGGCAUGAGCUGUGGGGAGGAGUAAAAGUCUAAUCAAACUCAGAGAUAUCUGGUUCUCCCCGAAAUGUCUUUUGGGACAGCCUCGGGCCACUACGUCACGGGGGUAGAGCUACUGAAUGAAACGAAGGCUCUUCCAGAGUACUUCCUUCAAUCAAACUCCGAAUACCGUGACGACUAUCCCGGGAGUGAGAGUGUGGGCGCUAAUGUUCAUGCUCAAAAGGGAAAAAACCCACACCGUCAGCUAAGGCCCCCAAGCCACGCUGAGUGCAUAAGGAAGUCUGUUUUCCGUGACAGCCAGGAUGUUGGCUUAGAAGCAGCCACCAUUUAAAAAGUGCGUAAUAGCUUACUGGUCGAGAAAAUGGGCACCGAUGAUGAUCGGGACUAAGCGUGGCGCCGAAGCUACGGGCGCGCAAGCGCGGUAGGGGAGCGUACCACAGGAGAUACAAGCCAUACCGUAAGGAGUGGUGUCGGCCUGUGGUAGUGAGAAUGCCGGUAUGAGUAACGAUAAAGCGGGUGAGAAUCCCGCUCGCCGUAAGCCCAAGGCUUCCUGGGGAAGGGAAAUCCGCCCAGGGUUAGUCGGAACCUUAGUCGAGGCCGAAAGGCGUAGACGAUGGACAACAGGUUAAUAUUCCUGUACUCCGUAUGCGGUUGAACCGACGGGGACGUCAACACAAAGUGUGGCCCACUACGAGCAUAGAGGGUGUCCGCAAGGACGAGGCCGCUUUGUUGCCGAAGCACAUGGCGUGUUGACCGAGAAAAGCCGUUCGGGGACAAAAUGCGGAUCCGUACCAAAACCGACACAGGUGGGCGAGGAGAGUAUCCUAACGGCGCUCGAGAGAACGGUCCUUAAGGAACUAGGCAAUUUGACCCCGUAACUUCGGGAAAAGGGGGCCCUCCCUCGCAAGAGAAGGGCGCAGAGAAACGGCUCUGGGAACUGUUUAUCAAAAACACAGGUCUGUGCUAACUCGUACAGAGGAUGUAUACAGACUGACGCCUGCUCGGUGCCGGAAGGUUAAGGAAGUCGGUCAGCCGCAAGGCGAAGCUGGCAACCGAAGCCCCGGUUAACGGCGGCCGUAACUAUGACGGUCCUAAGGUAGCGAAGUUCCUUGUCGGGUAAGUUCCGACGUGCAUGAACGGCGUAAUCACUGGAGCAGUGUCUCAAGGACCGACUCGGUGAAAUUGAAGUCGCGGUGAAGAUACCGUGUACCCGCAGCAAGACGGAAAGACCCCGUGAACCUUUACUGCAGCCUGGUAUUGGUAAUUGGUAUCGCAUGCGUAGGAUAGGUGGGAGGCUUUGAUCCGGCGGUUCCGGCCGCCGGGGAGCCAACGUUGAAAUACCACCCUUGUGCUAUUAGUUACCUCACCCCGUCCCGUGAAUCCGGGCGGGGGACCGUGCUAGGUGGGCAGUUUGACUGGGGCGGUCUCCUCCCAAAAGGUAACGGAGGAGUGCAAAGGUCGGCUCAGCACGGUUGGCAAUCGUGCGUAGAGCGCAAGGGCAUAAGCCGGCUUAACUGUGAGACAUAAAGGUCAAGCAGAUGCGAAAGCAGGCCCUAGUGAUCCGGUAAUCCCGUGUGGAAGGGUUAUCGCUCAACUGACAAAAGGUACUCCGGGGAUAACAGGCUGAUGACUACCGAGCGUCCAUAGCGGCGUAGUCGUUUGGCACCUCGAUGUCGGCCCAUCACAUCCUGGGGCUGUAGGCGGUCCCAAGGGUUCGGCUGUUCGCCGAUUAAAGUGGUACGCGAGCUGGGUUCAGACCGGCGUGAGCCAGGUCGGUCCCUAUCUGCUGUGGGCGUACGAGUCUUGAAGGGCCAUCACCCUAGUACGAGAGGAUUGGGUGGUACGUGCCUCUGGUGUACCUGUUGUCGCGCUAGCGGCACGGCAGGGUAGCUAAGCACGGAUUGGAUAAACGCUGAAAGCAUCUAAGCGUGAAGCCGUCCCUAAGAUGAGGACUCGGUGCUCCCUUCGGGUGAGCAGAAGACCCCUGGAAGACUACCAGGUUGAUAGGCCGGGUGUGUAAGGACAGAGAUGUCCUCAGCUUACCGGUACUAACGGUCGAGGGCUUGACCAC